UCAACAGACAAAAACUCACUUGAAGUCGUAUCCUCUCUUAAACCCUCAUUUUCACCAGAACCAUCCACACCCUCAAUUUCAAGCUGCUUCACAGAUCCCUCAUCCAAAAUCACCUUCAAACCCUUAUCACCAUCACCAAGCGGCUCCUUCCACUCCCCCUGUUCCUCCUUCAAAACCCUAACCUCCGAAUCCCCCAUGACAUCUUUUUCAUCAUUAUCAUUCUCACGCACGUUCUGAACACUGUCAGGCAUAGAAAACUCCGAAGAAUCCACAGAAGGGGCAUCAUUAAAAUCCUCUUCAGCAGGUUGCUCUACGGUUUCCUCAGCUACAACAGGCUUCUCUGACGCCGUUUCAAACCCCUCAUCUCCACUCAAAAACUCCCCAUUCUCAGACUCACCAUCACUAACACCACCACCACCACCAGUACCGUUAAUUUUGCUAUUAUUAUCACCCUCCAAUCCCAAAUUCUUCACUGAAUUAUCGUAAUCGCUAUUGUUAUUAUUACUAUCGUAGGAAAGGGGAGAAGAUGAAAAACCUGACUGAUACGACAUCGUUUCUGGAGCAGAAGUCUUGUAAGAGUCCAU
rnacentral:lncRNA from 1 species